rnacentral:rRNA from 1 species
UACGUAGGAGGCAAGCGUUGUCCGGAAUCACUGGGCGUAAAGCGCGUGUAGGCGGUGGGGCAAGUCUGCGGUGAAAGCGCCCGGCUUAACUGGGCGAGGUCCGUGGAAACUGCUCGACUGGAGGACGGUAGAGGGGGGUGGAAUUCCCGGUGUAGUGGUGAAAUGCGUAGAGAUCGGGAGGAACACCAGUGGCGAAGGCGGCCCCCUGGGCCGCUCCUGACGCUGAGACGCGAAGGCGCGGGGAGCGAACGGG